rnacentral:rRNA from 1 species
ACACUCCUGCGGGAGGCAGCAGUGGGGAAUUUUGGACAAUGGGCGAAAGCCUGAUCCAGCAAUGCCGCGUGAGUGAAGAAGGCCUUCGGGUUGUAAAGCUCUUUUGUGAGGGAAGAAACGGUGAAAGCUAAUAUCUUUUGCUAAUGACGGUACCUGAAGAAUAAGCACCGGCUAACUACGUGCCAGCAGCCGCGGUAAUACGUAGGGUGCAAGCGUUAAUCGGAAUUACUGGGCGUAAAGCGUGCGCAGGCGGUUUUGUAAGUCUGAUGUGAAAUCCCCGGGCUCAACCUGGGAAUUGCAUUGGAGACUGCAAGGCUAGAAUCUGGCAGAGGGGGGUAGAAUUCCACGUGUAGCAGUGAAAUGCGUAGAUAUGUGGAGGAACACCGAUGGCGAAGGCAGCCCCCUGGGUCAAGAUUGACGCUCAUGCACGAAAGCGUGGGGAGCAAACAGGAUUAGAAACCCUGGUAGUCCC